GAUGAAGAACGUAGCGAAAUGCGAUAAGUGAUGUGAAUUGCAGAAUUCAGUGAAUCAUCGAAUCUUUGAACGCACAUUGCGCCCGCCAGUAUUCUGGCGGGCAUGCCUGUCUGAGCGUCAUUUCAACCCUCAGCCCCCGCUCGCGGGGCGCUGGCGUUGGGGAUCGGCCGUCCUCGCGGCGGCCGGCCCCGAAACACAGUGGCGGUCUCUCGCGGACUCCCCUGCGUAGUAGCACUACCUCGCAGAAGGGACGAGCGGGCUGACCACGCCGUAAAACCCCCCACUUCUCCAGGUUGACCUCAGAUCAGGUAGGAAUACCCGCUGAACUUAAGCAUAUCAAUAAGCGGAGGA
rnacentral:misc_RNA from 1 species